CCUACGGGAGGCAGCAGUGGGGAAUAUUGCACAAUGGGCGAAAGCCUGAUGCAGCGACGCCGCGUGAGGGACGACGGCCUUCGGGUUGUAAACCUCUUUCAGCAGGGACGAAGCGCAAGUGACGGUACCUGCAGAAGAAGCACCGGCUAACUACGUGCCAGCAGCCGCGGUAAUACGUAGGGUGCAAGCGUUGUCCGGAAUUACUGGGCGUAAAGAGUUCGUAGGCGGUUUGUCACGUCGUUUGUGAAAACUCACAGCUCAACUGUGAGCCUGCAGGCGAUACGGGCAGACUUGAGUACUGCAGGGGAGACUGGAAUUCCUGGUGUAGCGGUGAAAUGCGCAGAUAUCAGGAGGAACACCGGUGGCGAAGGCGGGUCUCUGGGCAGUAACUGACGCUGAGGAACGAAAGCGUGGGUAGCAAACAGGAUUAGAUACCCUGGUAGUCCACGCCGUAAACGGUGGGCGCUAGGUGUGGGUUCCUUCCACGGAAUCCGUGCCGUAGCUAACGCAUUAAGCGCCCCGCCUGGGGAGUACGGCCGCAAGGCUAAAACUCAAAGGAAUUGACGG
rnacentral:rRNA from 1 species